rnacentral:rRNA from 1 species
UACGGAGGGUGCAAGCGUUAUCCGGAUUCACUGGGUUUAAAGGGUGCGUAGGUGGGUUGGUAAGUCCGUGGUGAAAUCUCCGAGCUUAACUCGGAAACUGCCGUGGAUACUAUCAAUCUUGAAUACUGUGGAGGUAAGCGGAAUAUGUCAUGUAGCGGUGAAAUGCUUAGAUAUGACAUAGAACACCGAUAGCGGAGGCAGCUUGCUACACAGUCAUUGACACUGAGGAGCGAAAGCCAGGGGAGCAAACGGG